rnacentral:rRNA from 1 species
CGGAGUAAAGUAGCUUGCUAUUUUACUUAGUGGCGCACGGGUGAGUAAUGUAUAGCUAACCUGCCCUUUAGUGGGGGACAACAGUUGGAAACGACUGCUAAUACCCCAUACUCCUUCUUAUCAUAAGGUAAGUUGGGAAAGAUUUAUUGCUAAAGGAUGGGGCUUUAUUGUAUCAGCUAGUUGGUGGGGUAAUGGCCUACCAAGGCGAUGACGCAUACCUGGUCUGAGAGGAUGAUCAGGCACACUGGAACUGAGACACGGUCCAGACUCCUACGGGAGGCAGCAGUGGGGAAUAUUGCACAAUGGGGGAAACCCUGAUGCAGCAACGCCGCGUGGAGGAUGACGCAUUUCGGUGUGUAAACUCCUUUUAUAAGGGAAGAUAAUGACGGUACCUUAUGAAUAAGCACCGGCUAACUCCGUGCCA